rnacentral:rRNA from 1 species
GACGAACGCUGGCGGCGUGCUUAACACAUGCAAGUCGAACGGAAAGGCCCUGCUUUUGUGGGGUGCUCGAGUGGCGAACGGGUGAGUAACACGUGAGUAACCUGCCCUUGACUUUGGGAUAACUUCAGGAAACUGGGGCUAAUACCGGAUAGGAGCUCCUGCUGCAUGGUGGGGGUUGGAAAGUUUCGGCGGUUGGGGAUGGACUCGCGGCUUAUCAGCUUGUUGGUGGGGUAGUGGCUUACCAAGGCUUUGACGGGUAGCCGGCCUGAGAGGGUGACCGGCGGCAGUGGGAAUGAGAGGAGGGCGGGAGUGCGCCGGGAGGCGGGGGGGGGGGGGAGGGCUGAAGGGGGGGGAGCUGGAUGCAGCAGUGGCGCGUGAGGGAGAGCGGCCGACGGGUUGUAAACAGGUGUCACCGGUGACGGAGCGGGCGGGAGCGUAAUGGCUAAGGAAGCGACGGCUAACUACGGG